AUAAAAAUUACGACGUCACGAAUUUUGAUGUUUUUUUUUUGUCAAAAUGUUGGGUUUGCGUCGCUUCUACAGGGAAAACGAAGUCGGUGACCAUAAUUUUUUUAAUAUCAUCUAAUUCGUAAGACAAAGAGGAAAAAAAUAUUAAUUUAAAAAAAGAUUCUAUGGAGCGGUUCUCGUGAUUUAUACCAGAAACCGAAAAUUGUAGAAGAAAAAUAUAGAUUUACCCUAUAUAUUCAAUGUAAUUUAGUACCCUCUCGGAC
rnacentral:lncRNA from 1 species